GACGAACGCUGGCGGCGUGCUUAACACAUGCAAGUCGAACGGAAAGGCCCAGCUUGCUGGGUACUCGAGUGGCGAACGGGUGAGUAACACGUGGGUGAUCUGCCCCUGACUUUGGGAUAAGCCUGGGAAACUGGGUCUAAUACCGGAUAUGACCUUACAUCGCAUGGUGUUUGGUGGAAAGCUUUUGCGGUUGGGGAUGGGCCCGCGGCCUAUCAGCUUGUUGGUGGUGUAAUGGCCUACCAAGGCGACGACGGGUAGCCGACCUGAGAGGGUGAUCGGCCACACUGGGACUGAGACACGGCCCAGACUCCUACGGGAGGCAGCAGUGGGGAAUAUUGCACAAUGGGCGCAAGCCUGAUGCAGCGACGCCGCGUGAGGGAUGACGGCCUUCGGGUUGUAAACCUCUUUCACCAGGGACGAAGCGUGAGUGACGGUACCUGGAGAAGAAGCACCGGCCAACUACGUG
rnacentral:rRNA from 1 species